CCAAUGAAAGAAAGUCAGUUGAUACAUCUUCAGAGACUUGGAAGAAUGGAGGAGUUGAAGGCCAAUGCCAAUCCUCCAAUGAUCUGCCGAUGUCAUGUGAAGACAGACCUGAAAGAAAAUUUUCUUCUGGCCAAACAGUUGAAGGAUCAUUGCCAGUUCCUUCAAAGGAGAUCUUCAUUGGUUCUGAUUGUGAUGGUGAUGAAGAGGAUCUUUCAGUCACAUCUGUAGAUGCUGUAGUUUCAGAAAGUCAUCUGGCCAGUCAUAACGUGACUGGUGAUGGAGAGCCGCAUUCAUCAAAUGGCCACCACCAUUCUGGGAGUUAAUUUAUGUCUUUAACAGAGAUUUUUAUUACCAAGUCAAAAACUUGGACUCCAGAAUAGAAAUGCCAACUAUACACGGUAUGCCAAGAGUAGAGGAUCUCACAUUCUCCACUGUAUUAUCUGUUUCUCAAGAAUCGGAGAGCCUUUCUAGCUCAAGUAAUUCUCAUGACUUGGUUUCCCUGCUCAAGCUCUAGCAGUAAAACUUGUAGUACUGAUGCCUUACUGGAGAGUAUACUGUUGCAAAAAAAGCGGAUACACCAUUGAUGGCAGAGAACCCUCUCAGGAAAUUGAAGCUUACUGCAUUCUUCAAUUGCACUUAUUCAACUUGACUGACAGCUUCUCCUUUACCUCUCUACUGGUUAUAUACAUUUUUGUAAUCAUUUGCUGAAGAUAGAGCUGUAUUUGUUUUCUUCUUAUUCAGAAUAUUCAAACCUUUCGACUAAGAAAUCUGUCAUUUUUAUCAUAUUUCACUCUUGAUUCAAAAUGGGUCAUACUUAACCCAAA